rnacentral:rRNA from 1 species
GACGAACGCUGGCGGCGUGCUUAACACAUGCAAGUCGAACGCUGAAGACCUGGCUUUUGUUGGGUUGUAUGAGUGGCGAACGGGUGAGUAACACGUGAGUAACCUGCCCUCUUCUUUGGGAUAACGCCCGGAAACGGGUGCUAAUACUGGAUAUUCACUGAUCUUCGCAUGGGGGUUGGUGGAAAGGGUUGUUCUGGUGGGGGAUGGGCUCGCGGCCUAUCAGCUUGUUGGUGGGGUGAUGGCCUACCAAGGCUUUGACGGGUAGCCGGCCUGAGAGGGUGACCGGUGACAUUGGGCCUGGGCUACGGCCCAGCGUCCUACGGGAGGCAGCAGUGGGGCAUAUUGCACGAUGGGCGAAAGCCUGAUGCAGCGGCGCCGCGUGAGGGAUGGAGGCCUUCGGGUUGUAAACCUCUUUCGCUCAUGGUCAAGCCGCAACUGUGGGUUGUGGUGAGGGUAGUGGGUAAAGAAGCGCCGGCUAACUACGUG